AACGAACGCUGGCGGCAGGCUUAACACAUGCAAGUCGAGCGCCCCGCAAGGGGAGCGGCAGACGGGUGAGUAACGCGUGGGAAUCUACCCAUCUCUACGGAAUAACGCAUGGAAACGUGUGCUAAUACCGUAUACGUCCUUCGGGAGAAAGAUUUAUCGGAGAUGGAUGAGCCCGCGUUGGAUUAGCUAGUUGGUGGGGUAAAGGCCUACCAAGGCGACGAUCCAUAGCUGGUCUGAGAGGAUGAUCAGCCACACUGGGACUGAGACACGGCCCAGACUCCUACGGGAGGCAGCAGUGGGGAAUAUUGGACAAUGGGCGCAAGCCUGAUCCAGCCAUGCCGCGUGAGUGAUGAAGGCCCUAGGGUUGUAAAGCUCUUUCACCGGUGAAGAUAAUGACGGUAACUGGAGAAUAAGCCCCGGCAAACUUCGUGCCAGCCGCCGCAGUAAUAC
rnacentral:rRNA from 1 species